rnacentral:pre_miRNA from 1 species
UCACUACUCCCUCCGUCUAAUAAAAGAUGUCUCAAGUUUGUCAAAAUUUGGAUGUAUCUAGAUAUGACUUAGUGUAUACAUGCAUUCAAAUUUAAUCAGAGUUGAGACAUUCUGUGUUGGACGGAGGAAUACUGU